AUGGCCGAUUCGCCGAACCCUAGCCCCGGGGACCUCCCCUCGGCCGCCGGGAGCUCGCCCGAGAAGCCGCAUCCCGCGGAUCGACGCGUCGCGGCGCUCGCCGGCGCGGGCGCGAGGUACAAGGCCAUGUCCCCCGCGCGGCUGCCGAUCUCGCGCGAGCCCUGCCUCACCAUCCCCGCCGGCUUCAGCCCCUCCGCCCUCCUAGACUCCCCGGUGCUCCUCACUAACUUCAAGGUUGAACCUUCACCAACAACUGGUAGUCUGAGCAUGGCUGCAAUCAUGCACAAGAGUGCUCAUCCAGACAUACUGCCUUCGCCACGGGAUAAGUCUAUUCGAGCCCAUGAAGAUGGGGGUUCUAGGGAUUUUGAAUUCAAGCCUCAUCUGAAUUCGUCUUCUCAAUCACUGGCUCCUGCUAUGAGUGAUCUAAAAAAACACGAGCAUUCUAUGCAAAAUCAGAGUAUGAAUCCCAGCUCAUCAUCUAGCAAUAUGGUGAAUGAAAACAGACCUCCCUGUUCACGCGAGUCAAGUCUUACAGUGAAUGUAAGUGCUCCGAACCAACCUGUUGGAAUGGUUGGUUUGACUGACAACAUGCCUGCUGAAGUUGGUACAUCUGAGCCGCAGCAGAUGAAUAGUUCUGACAAUGCCAUGCAAGAGCCGCAGUCUGAAAAUGUUGCUGACAAGUCAGCAGAUGAUGGCUACAACUGGCGCAAAUAUGGGCAGAAGCAUGUCAAGGGAAGUGAAAACCCUAGAAGUUAUUACAAGUGCACACAUCCUAAUUGUGAAGUAAAAAAGCUAUUGGAGCGUGCGGUUGAUGGUCUGAUCACGGAAGUUGUCUAUAAGGGGCGCCAUAAUCAUCCUAAGCCCCAGCCUAAUAGGAGGUUAGCUGGUGGUGCAGUUCCUUCGAACCAGGGUGAAGAACGAUAUGAUGGUGCGGCAGCUGCUGAUGAUAAAUCUUCCAAUGCUCUUAGCAACCUUGCUAAUCCGGUAAAUUCGCCUGGCAUGGUUGAGCCUGUUCCAGUUUCAGUUAGUGAUGAUGACAUAGAUGCUGGAGGUGGAAGACCCUACCCUGGGGAUGAUGCUACAGAGGAGGAGGAUUUAGAGUUGAAACGCAGGAAAAUGGAGUCUGCAGGUAUUGAUGCUGCUCUGAUGGGUAAACCUAACCGUGAGCCCCGUGUUGUCGUUCAAACUGUAAGUGAGGUUGACAUCUUGGAUGAUGGGUAUCGUUGGCGGAAAUAUGGACAGAAAGUUGUCAAAGGAAACCCCAAUCCACGUUUACAUGUCAGAUCGGAUCAACGCAUCAUCGGCUUUCCCUGCACCUCCUCCAAGAGGCAAAUGAAUUCAUGGAGUUACUACAAAUGCACAAGCACAGGAUGCCCUGUGAGGAAGCAUGUUGAGAGAGCAUCGCAUGAUCCUAAAUCAGUGAUAACAACGUAUGAAGGAAAACAUAACCAUGAAGUCCCUGCUGCGAGGAAUGCAACCCAUGAGAUGUCUGCACCUCCCAUGAAGAAUGUCGUGCAUCAGAUCAACAGCAAUAUGCCCAGCAGCAUUGGGGGCAUGAUGAGAGCAUGUGAAGCCAGGAACUUCACCAACCAAUAUUCUCAAGCGGCUGAAACCGACACCGUCAGUCUUGACCUUGGUGUUGGGAUCAGCCCGAACCACAGCGACGCCACAAACCAAAUGCAGUCUUCAGGUCCUGAUCAGAUGCAGUAUCAGAUGCAAUCCAUGGCUUCGAUGUACGGCAACAUGAGACAUCCAUCAUCAAUGGCAGUGCCAACGGUACAAGGAAACUCUGCUGGCCGCAUGUAUGGUUCCAGAGAAGAGAAAGGUAACGAAGGGUUUACUUUCAGAGCCACACCGAUGGACCAUUCAGCUAACCUAUGCUAUAGCGGUGCUGGGAACUUGGUCAUGGGUCCAUGA
rnacentral:rRNA from 1 species